CGGGGGGGGCAAGCGUUGUUCGGAAUUACUGGGCGUAAAGGGCUCGUAGGCGGCCAACUAAGUCAGACGUGAAAUCCCCAGGCUCAACCUGGGAACUGGGUCUGAUACUGGAUGGCUUGAAUUCGGGAGAGGGAUGCAGAAUUCCAGGUGUAGCGGUGAAAUGCGUAGAUAUCUGGAGGAAUACCGGUGGCGAAGGCGGCAUCCUGGACCGACAUUGACGCUGAGGAGCGAAAGCUAGGGGAGCAAACGGGAUUAGAUACCCCGGUAGUCCUAGCCCUAAACGAUGAAUGCUUGGUGUAACGGGUAUCGAUCCCUGUUGUGCCGAAGCUAACGCAUUAAGCAUUCCGCCUGGGGAGUACGGUCGCAAGGCUG
rnacentral:rRNA from 1 species